rnacentral:rRNA from 1 species
GCCAGACUCCUACGGGAGGCAGCAGUGGGGAAUAUUGCACAAUGGGGGAAACCCUGAUGCAGCGACGCCGCGUGAGUGAAGAAGUAUUUCGGUAUGUAAAGCUCUAUCAGCAGGGAAGAAGAUGACGGUACCUGAGUAAGAAGCCCCGGCUAACUACGUGCCAGCAGCCGCGGUAAUACGUAGGGGGCAAGCGUUAUCCGGAUUUACUGGGUGUAAAGGGAGCGUAGACGGUGAGACAAGUCUGAAGUGAAAGCCCGGGGCUCAACCCCGGGACUGCUUUGGAAACUGCCUGACUGGAGUGCUGGAGAGGCAGGCGGAAUUCCUAGUGUAGCGGUGAAAUGCGUAGAUAUUAGGAGGAACACCAGUGGCGAAGGCGGCCUGCUGGGCUUUAACUGACGCUGAGGCUCGAAAGCGUGGGGAGCAAACAGGAUUAGAUACCCCGGUAACG